rnacentral:pre_miRNA from 1 species
UGUUCAUAACUUUCUAAAAUGUUCCACUUUGGGGCUGACAUUUUCCCUUUUUGAUUUCUGCCUGAAGGUAAAUUGGUUUGAAAAGUUUUAAU